AUCUUCCGCAAUGGACGAAAGUCUGACGGAGCAACGCCGCGUGAGUGAUGAAGGUUUUCGGAUCGUAAAACUCUGUUGUCGGGGAAGAACAAGUAUCGGAGUAACUGCCGGUACCUUGACGGUACCUUACGAGAAAGCCACGGCUAACUACGUGCCAGCAGCCGCGGUAAUACGUAGGUGGCAAGCGUUGUCCGGAAUUAUUGGGCGUAAAGCGCGCGCAGGCGGCCUUUUAAGUCUGAUGUGAAAGCCCCCGGCUUAACCGGGGAGGGUCAUUGGAAACUGGGAGGCUUGAGUGCAGAAGAGGAAAGUGGAAUUCCAAGUGUAGCGGUGAAAUGCGUAGAGAUUUGGAGGAACACCAGUGGCGAAGGCGACUUUCUGGUCUGUUACUGACGCUGAGGCGCGAAAGCGUGGGGAGCAAAC
rnacentral:rRNA from 1 species